ACAUUAAGUGAAAAACUUCUGUAUGCCCCAGUCUGAUAACUGUGACGAAAAGUAUUUUCUGAGUUUUG